GACGAACGCUGGCGGCGUGCUUAACACAUGCAAGUCGAACGGAAAGGCCCUGCUUUUGUGGGGUGCUCGAGUGGCGAACGGGUGAGUAACACGUGAGUAACCUGCCCUUGACUUUGGGAUAACUUCAGGAAACUGGGGCUAAUACCGGAUAGGAGCUCCUGCUGCAUGGUGGGGGUUGGAAAGUUUCGGCGGUUGGGGAUGGACUCGCGGCUUAUCAGCUUGUUGGUGGGGUAGUGGCUUACCAAGGCUUUGACGGGUAGCCGGCCUGAGAGGGUGACCGGCCACAUUGGGACUGAGAUACGGCCCAGACUCCUACGGGAGGCAGCAGUGGGGAAUAUUGGACAAUGGGCGCAAGCCUGAUCCAGCCAUACCGCGUGGGUGAAGAAGGCCUUCGGGUUGUAAAGCCCUUUUGUUGGGAAAGAAAAGCAGCAGGUUAAUACCCCGCUGUUCUGACGGUACCCAAAGAAUAAGCACCGGCUAACUUCGUG
rnacentral:rRNA from 1 species